GCAACGGCUAGCGGCUAUUUCAAAAUCUGAUUUGAUUUGUUUUGCUUUUGAUAUGAUGUUUGGAAUACAUUCAAACCAAAUAAAACCUGCUGUGCCAUGAACUUGGGAAACUCGUAUGCAGUAUGCUCUGUAUGCAAUAUUAAAUUGUUGAAUGACUGAAAAAUUUAAUUUCGUACAUCAAGUCAUCAUAUUGCAAGGAAAUUUUUGGAUGCUGCUAAGAAAUUUUGUUUGACUGAAGACAGGGAAACUUCUAAAUGAGGAAAACUAUUUUCACCUCUGAUUCAGUUGGGAAAGUGCACUGGAUAUAUUUGAAACAGCAAGCUUGAGCUCCAACUUGUUUCCCGUAGUUAGCUUCAUCAGUCUGCUUAAACUUCUACAAGCAAAGAAUAUAGACAUUUAUCACUGUAUAGCUCAAAUAAUGAGCCAUUUCAUUAUUAAUAAUGAGCCAUUUUAUUAUUCCUUUCAAUGCAAUACUAAAAAUGAAAAAUUCAUUUUCGUCAUAUUAUGCUCUUUUAUUUUAAAAAAGGAAAAAAGUGCUAGUCAAACAUCUUGUAAAAUUUUUGUUUUGUAUGGAAAAAAUACUGUUUUUGUUGACAUAUUUCGAAAGCGGGUUGAAAAGCUUGCAAAUUUGAGCCUUGAAGGUGAUGCCUACUCUGACUACCACCCUUUGUAAACAAUGACCUAUCAAGAGAAACAAAUAGCUGAAAAUCCAAAUUAUACAAUUCUGAAACUAUCUGACAAAAUAAAUACACAGUACAUGGUCAUUUGAAGAAAACUGGAUAUGUAAGCUGUUGUGAUGUACGUGUGCUGCAUAACAGAGCAGUAUAUGCCUACUUUUGUAUGUAUACUGUAUAAUAAUGUUAUUAAAAGAAAAAUCAAGAGGUAAGCCAGAAGAGUCUCUUUUAAUAACAUCAAGAGGGGGGGCUGCAUCCCGAAAAAAGUAUUGCUUUGUAUAUGGUGGGACUACAGAGGAACUGCUGAUGCCAAACCAGAGAAUAAAUUCAGAAAAAUACUGUUCCCAAAUAGCAGUUUUAAAAGGAGAAAUCGAAGCAAAACGUCCAGAACUGACCAAUCUUCAAGGUGUUGUCUUCCAUCGUAACAAUGUUGAGCCAUACACUUUGAUAAAUGUUAGACAAAGACUAUUUGAGUAUAUCUGGGAUGUUUUGUCUCACCUUACAUAUUCAUCAAACCUUGCCCUCUCGGAUUUUCAUCUCUUCAGAAGACUCUGAAAUUCUCUAAACGGCCUGGAGUUCACUUCUUUGGAGACUGACAAACAGCUCGUCGAUAACUUUUAAAAAAUGGAAUUUUCGGUCUUCCUGAGAAAUGGCAAAAUGUGACUGAAUAAAAUAAUACUUAUAUGAUUCAAUGAAAGUUUCUUAUGCUUUUGUAGUACCUUUCAUUUGUAAUUAUCUUCAAGAAGCCGCAUAACUUUUUGGAUGACCUAAUUUGAUGACUGGGCAA